GGGCCCGUGGCCUAGUCUGGAUAAGGCAUCGGCCUUCUAUUAGUGCGGGAGAGAGCCGAGAAUCGUGGGUUCAAAUCCCUCCGGGCCCG
rnacentral:tRNA from 1 species